rnacentral:rRNA from 1 species
CCUACGUGAGGCAGCAGUGAGGAAUAUUGGUCAAUGGACGCAAGUCUGAACCAGCCAUGCCGCGUGCAGGAAGACGGCUCUAUGAGUUGAAAACUGCUUUUGUACGGGGGUAAACGCAGAUACGCGUAUCUGUCUGAAAGUAUCGUACGAAUAAGGAUCGGCUAACUCCGUGCCAGCAGCCGCGGUAAUACGGAGGAUUCAAGCGUUAUCCGGAUUUAUUGGGGUUAAAGGGUGCGUAGGCGGUCGGAUAAGUUAGAGGUGAAAUCCCGAGGCGCAACGUCGGCAUCGCCGCUGAUACUGUUCGGCUAGAGAGUAGAUGCGGUAGGCGGAAUGUAUGGUGUAGCGGUGAAAUGCUUAGAGAUCAUACAGAACACCGAUUGCGAAGGCAGCUUACCAAGCUACUUCUGACGUUGAGGCACGAAAGCGUGGGGAGCAAACAGGAUUAGAUACCCCAGUAGUC